AAGAUCCAAGUUUUGAGUUUAUCUUAAACACUUGUUACAUGGCACCUGAUACUUUAUUACAUUUCUAGUGGCGGACGGUGAGUAACACGUUGGAACCUGCCCCAAAGUGAGGAAUAAGCCACCGAAAGGUGGUCUAAUACUUCAUAAUAUCCAUCUCGUAUGGAUUAAAGCUUUAUGCGCUUUGGGAGGGGCCUGCGUAACAUUAGCUUGUUGGUGAGGUAAAAGCUCACCAAGGCUUCGAUGUUUAACUGGUUUGAGAGGAUGACCAGUCACACUGGGACUGAGAUACGGCCCAGACUCCUACGGGAGGCAGCAGUAAGGAAUCUUCCACAAUGGGGCAACCCUGAUGGAGCAAUACCGCGUGCAGGAUGAAGCGUUUCGGCGUGUAAACUGCUUUUAUCACCGAAGAUUAUGACUGUAGGUGAAGAAUAAGGACCGGCUAACUACGUG
rnacentral:rRNA from 1 species